GACGUAGGAGGCGAGCGUUGUCCGGAUUCAUUGGGCGUAAAGGGCGCGUAGGCGGCUGUACAAGUCAAAGGUGAAAUCCCUCGGCUCAACUGAGGAACUGCCUUUGAAACUGCAAGGCUUGAGGCCGGGAGGGGGUAGCGGAAUUCCCAAUGUAGCGGUGAAGUGCGUAGAUAUUGGGAGGAACACCAGUGGCGAAGGCGGCUACCUGGACCGGUUCUGACGCUGAGGCGCGAAAGCGUGGGUAGCAAACAGG
rnacentral:rRNA from 1 species